AACCUCUGUCUUGUUCACAUAAAU
rnacentral:siRNA from 1 species